AGUGAACGCUGGCGGUAGGCCUAACACAUGCAAGUCGAACGGCAGCACAGUAAGAGCUUGCUCUUACGGGUGGCGAGUGGCGGACGGGUGAGGAAUACAUCGGAAUCUACUUUUUCGUGGGGGAUAACGUAGGGAAACUUACGCUAAUACCGCAUACGACCUACGGGUGAAAGCAGGGGAUCUUCGGACCUUGCGCGAUUGAAUGAGCCGAUGUCGGAUUAGCUAGUUGGCGGGGUAAAGGCCCACCAAGGCAACGAUCCGUAGCUGGUCUGAGAGGAUGAACAGCCACACUGGAACUGAGACACGGUCCAGACUCCUACGGGAGGCAGCAGUGGGGAAUAUUGGACAAAGGGCGCAAGCCUGAUCCAGCCAUACCGCGUGGGUGAAGAAGGCCUUCGGGUUGUAAAGCCCUUUUGUUGGGAAAGAAAAGCAGCAGGUUAAUACCCCGCUGUUCUGACGGUACCCAAAGAAUAAGCACCGGCUAACUUCGUG
rnacentral:rRNA from 1 species